CACGUAGGGACCGAGCGUUGUCCGGAAUCACUGGGCGUAAAGCGCGCGUAGGCGGUGAUGAAAGUCAGUGGUGAAAGCCCUCAGCUUAACUGGGGAAUUGCCAUUGAAACUGCAUUGCUUGAGUAUGUGAGAGGAUAGUGGAAUUCCUGGUGUAGGAGUGAAAUCCGUAGAUAUCAGGAGGAACAUCAGUGGCGAAGGCGACUAUCUGGCACAUUACUGACGCUGAGGUGCGAAAGCGUGGGGAGCAAA
rnacentral:rRNA from 1 species